AUUGAGUUAAUUAAUGAUCAAAAUCACUAAUUAAACUUCUCAUAAAUACUAAAUCCAAAUUCGAUGGGUAAUCGGACAUCAGAAUUCAUCGAUAUGUAACCCUGAUCAAAAAAUUCCAACCAGUGGGACUCUUGACCCCGGUAUCUAUAAUGUGUGGAACUCAUGAUCAGAGAAUCCUGAUUCUCGAUCACUGAGUCUCAAACAUGUAGGAUUCUAUAUCAGCCAUC
rnacentral:lncRNA from 1 species